rnacentral:rRNA from 1 species
AUUGAACGCUGGCGGCAGGCUUAACACAUGCAAGUCGAGCGGAGAUGAGGUGCUUGCACCUUAUCUUAGCGGCGGACGGGUGAGUAAUGCUUAGGAAUCUGCCUAUUAGUGGGGGACAACAUUCCGAAAGGAAUGCUAAUACCGCAUACGUCCUACGGGAGAAGGCAGGGGAUCUUCGGACCUUGUGCUAAUAGAUGAGCCUAAGUCGGAUUAGCUAGUUGGUGGGGUAAAGGCCUACCAAGGCGACGAUCUGUAGCGGGUCUGAGAGGAUGAGCCGCCACACUGGGACGGAGACACGGCCAAGACUCCUACGGGAGGCAGCAGUGGGGAAUAUUGGACAAUGGGGGAAACCCUGAUCCAGCCAUGCCGCGUGUGUGAAGAAGGCCUUAUGGUUGUAAAGCACUUUAAGCGAGGAGGAGGCUACUGAGACUAAUACUCUUGGAUAGUGGACGUUACUCGCAGAAUAAGCACCGGCUAACUCUGUGCCAGCAGCCGCCGUAA